rnacentral:lncRNA from 1 species
AUUUUGUCAACCUAAUUAACUUAAGAACAUUAGUAGCAAUGGAAACAAAAACUCAUGCAAGGUAAAAUCUUAGGUAAUAAAUUCUUGAACAUCUUUUCAUGCUACCUCGACUAAAGGACUCUAUGAAUUAUACCAAGUAAUUUUUGAAAGGUCUCUCAGAAAUGAUCGGUCUUGUCACAUAGUGGAUAAGGGUGAAGUAUAGAUCAAGAUCAUUGGAUCUGUAUGAAAAUUGAAGGAUGUAAGACUCGGGUAGCUGUUAAAUGAAGGUUAUUUCACAACCUUCAAUGGUGAUAACCAGAAGGUUUCUAACGGUGCAAUAACCAUUGCAUGUGGCAAUAAAUCUGUUAAUAAACUUGCCAAACGUAUGCUUAAACAAACGCAUUCUAAGGGGAAACUAUUGGGGCUUCAAUCAAUUCAUGUAGACGUACGCAAGUGUUGCAUCUUUGGAAAGCAUAAGAAGAUGAGUUUCAAGAAAUGUGGAAGAACGUGGAAGCAAGAGAAGCCUGAGUUAGUUCACACAAAUGUCUAAGACCACAUCAAUUUCAUCCAUUGGCGGUAAGUCUUAUUUUGUGACUUUCAUCAAUGAUCCUUAGUGUUUAAGGUAUUGAAAUGGUGGAGAAUGAAACUGGAGUGCAAGUGAAAAAGUCGAGAUCUAACAAUGGUGGAGAGUACUAAAAUAUGGGAUUCAAGAAGUUUUGUUACCAAAUUGGCAUCAAAACAAAGAACUUUGCUAGGAACACAAGAUAUUCGCAACAAAAUGGAAUGACAAAAAAUAUGAAUUGGACAUUAACUGAAAGAACUCAAAACAUGCAAUUACAUGCAGGUUUGACUAAAUGGUUCUUAGCAGAGGCCAUCAACACAACAUUGUACCUAGGGCCCGUCUUUUGCUUUUGCUUUCUGUAGAAGAGUUUUUAAAAGAAUCUACAUUAAGUCCACGUUUGAGACCUAUUUAUUAGAAAAAUGUGUUCUAGAAUAGUGAUUUUUUGAAGAAUGUGGUUAAACAUAGAAAAGUUUUGGAUUUACGUGAAAUUAUUUUGUGAGAAUGUGUGGUUGAGAAUGAAUUUUGAGAAAAUGAGUUUUGGAAAAAAUGAAGCUCAGACAGGGGCUAAUUUUUGUUUGAAAACUAAUUUUUAAAAGAGCUUCCUACUUCUAAAAUAUUUUAGAUGAAGUCACAUUUGAUCAGCUUCCUCUAAAAGCAUUUCUAACUAGAAGAAUCAUUUUCAUAAAUUGCCAAACGGGUCCAAAAGCAGUUGAGUCACACAAGCUCCGUUAGAAUUUUCAAAAGACAUGCCAAACAAGCUAGUAAUUAACUAUGAACCAUCAGCACCCUUGGAGCACAAAUGUUAAAGCAAGUAUGGAGGGGAGAAAAAGUUAAAAAAUUCAUUUGAAAGUUUUCGAUUGUAUUGCAUAUGGGCAUAUUAGUCAUUAAGCUAGGGGAAAGUUUGAUUCCAAGUCGCUAAAGUGCACUUUCAUUGGAUAUGAUGGAGAUUAGUUCAGACACUGCUUCUAGAAUGAUCACAACAAAAUAAUGAUUAGAAGUCGGGAU